rnacentral:rRNA from 1 species
UACGUAGGGUGCGAGCGUUGUCCGGAAUUAUUGGGCGUAAAGGGCUCGUAGGCGGUUUGUCGCGUCGGGAGUGAAAUCCACUGGCUUAACUGGUGGCUUGCUUUCGAUACGGGCAGACUGGAGGUAUGCAGGGGAGAACGGAAUUCCUGGUGUAGCGGUGAAAUGCGCAGAUAUCAGGAGGAACACCGGUGGCGAAGGCGGAUCUCUGGGCCUUGCCUGACGCUGAGGCGCGAAAGCUAGGGGAGCGAACAGG